GACGAACGCUGGCGGCGUGCUUAACACAUGCAAGUCGAACGGUAAGGCCCUUCGGGGUACACGAGUGGCGAACGGGUGAGUAACACGUGGGUGAUCUGCCCUGCACUUCGGGAUAAGCCUGGGAAACUGGGUCUAAUACCGGAUAGGACCACUGCCUGCAUGGGUGGUGGUGGAAAGCUUUUGCGGUGUGGGAUGGGCCCGCGGCCUAUCAGCUUGUUGGUGGGGUGAUGGCCUACCAAGGCGACGACGGGUAGCCGGCCUGAGAGGGUGACCCGGCACACGGGGGCGGGGGAACGGGCCAGGAUUCGACGGGAGGGAGGAGGGGGGAAUAUUGCACAAUGGGCGCAAGCCUGAUGCAGCGACGCCGCGUGAGGGAUGACGGCCUUCGGGUUGUAAACCUCUUUCAGCACCGACGAAGCGCAAGUGACGGUAGGUGCAGAAGAAGGACCGGCCAACUACGUGCCAGCCGCCGCGGUAA
rnacentral:rRNA from 1 species